AAACUGAAAAACGGACAAGUUAAGAGCAGCCAGGGUCGUACCAUUCAGUGUGUGUGGUGGGCGUGUACGAACAGUUCGCUGCUAGCUACAGUGAUAAAUAACAUUAGUGACUACUGUAAGCUACAUUUUCUCGUCUGGCUGUGUGUCUUUGUAGCACAGACUGUGUUGAGAUUAAGCCGAAAUCAAAACGUGUGUGCGAGUCUUCACAGAGAAAACCCUCUGUAGCAUGUUUCCGCUAGCUAGUUUAAUCUUUAAGUUACCAGUAGCUGAGAGACUUUAACGGACAGCGGUGAUUCAGCGAGCUAGCUAGAAAGAAAGAGUCUUGAAAGCCUCAACACCCAACAUCCAUUGAUUUCCCCCUAAUUUGAUGCAUGUCGUUUACGGAUCUCGCCAGUGUUUCAUAUUCAUUUCUGGGCUUUCCAUCUACCAAGAUGUAUGUGAUGUCGGGAUGACAGGAAGAUGGCAAACGGGGUUGGAAAACACAAGCUGCUUGUCAUUGGACCAACAGAGCCAUGGUCGGUGAGGGAGAAGCUGUGUUUGGCCACAUCUGUCAUGAAGAGUGGAGACCAGAACUGGGUAUCUGUCAGUCGAGCCAUCAAACCAUUUGCAGAGCCCGGGCGGCCACCUGACUGGUUCUCUCAAAAGCACUGUGCCUCCAAGUACUCGGAGCUCCUGGAAACAACAGAGGCCCCAAAACGGAAGCGUGGUGAGAAAGGUGAAUUGGUGGAGACGGUGGAGGACGUGAUAGUUCGCAAGCUGACAGCAGACAGGAUUGAUGAACUAAAAAAGUUUAUCAAAGAAACACAGGAGAAGCACAGGAAACUGAAAAGAGAAGCUGAACUAAUAAAAGCAGGACAUCUAGAUUCCAAACUUGAAGAGUUAUGGGAAGAAAUGCUGCAGAAGAAGAAAGUGGAGGAGGAGGAAGCAGAGUUGAAAAGAAAAAACACAAAUGCUGCUUAUCAGGCCAGACAGGUGGCAAAGAACACACCUAAGCGAGUACACGGCAUCACCAUGCAUUCGCCCUCAGGCUGUAGCUCCCCGAGCCCUGAGUUCUCACCAGGUGACCCACUCGAGUUCUUGACACUGGAUAUUGCAUCAACAAAGAAUGCUUCAGGAUCAGCCAGAUUAAUCACAAUUGCUGAGUCCUCUGGAGCUGGUAAUGAUGACAUCAGCCACGGAUCACUUCUUGAUGACCCCACCCAAAAGAAACUCUUGAGCCAGAAAGCCACGCCACCACCAUCUCCACUUCUGUCAGAGUUACUGAAGAAAGGCAGUAUCCUGGCCACAAAUUCCAGACUGAUGGGGGAGGGUGAUGUGACCGCUGCAAAUAUGACAUCAGCACAUGACUUGCAGCUUGCUCCGCCUAGCCAACCUCUCUCUCAGGCAACAGGUGCCCCGAUGCUGUCUCGUCUCCUGGAGGCGGGUCCCACCCAGUUCUCUGCCCCGUUAGGUUUCAUGGUCAGCGCAGACUCCAGUGCUUCUCUCACUGCUGCCACUCUUGUGCCUGUUGACUCUACUGCCUCAGCAAAUACAGAGGUUGAUGGGAUGGUGCCCUCUGGAUGCCAGCCUGUGUCUGCAGAGGAUAAGGUGUCAGAGCUCAGUGAGGACGAUGUGACUGUGUCCUACAUGGGGGAUGAACUGGACCUGAAGACAGUGGGGGACAUUAUCGCUAUCAUUGAAGACAAGGCAGAUGAGACUGCAGAGGCUUUGGAUGCAGCUGCAGUUGAAGCUGCGCUGUCACUGUGUGAGGAGAAUGGCCACGCUCUGUCUGGUGCCUGGGAGGCUGGGCCUUUCCAGCCACAUGUGUCUCACCCCGCAGUGUCCACAGGGGUCCAGCAGUCCUCGUGUCUUCACAGUAGCCUGCAGGGGAAGACAGAAGUGUUGGAAGUCCGGGGUGGGACUUCAGCUUCACUCUCCUCUCUCUGCAACAGUCAAGAUAAUGGUCUCGCAGCAUUCCCCAUGGGACUCAGAGGCCUUCCUCCCACCUCCUUGUCCUCAUGCAACUCAAAGAGUUUGGAGCACUGCCGCACUGGAGCACCUCCACAGCCUGAGGCAAUGAGAAACACUGGAGCAUUGAAUGUUACUAUAAAAUGUGAGAGUGAGAAGUGGGCGAAGCAAAGACCUGGAAAACCCCAUGAAGACUCAGUAUUAGAAGAUAGCCCACUGACAGAAAGGCAACCCAAGGAGAUGAAAGCGGAGGAUGGAAUAAGUGUUGGGGGAGGAGAGAACGCCUCAGGGACUAAAGUGUACAAUGAGCUAAAUGGGCCAGAAGUGUGUAGAGAAGAAGAGGGUGAUGGGGUGGAGGGAUUCUUGUCAGAGCCAGACGGCGAGAUGGAGCUUGAACCUGCGGCCAGCGAGAGUGAGGAUGGAUACAGCCUCCACACGGCCUCCUCGUCUCUGCAGCUCCACAUGACCGCAGACUCCAUCCCCAGCAGCCCUGCAUCAUCGCAGUUCUCUAUGUGCAGUGAGGACCUGGAAGCUCUACAGGCGCACAAGAUCUGGAAGAAAGCCAUAAUGCUAGUGUGGCGGGCAGCAGCCAAUCACAGGUAUGCAAAUGUCUUCCUGCAGCCAGUAACAGAUGAAAUUGCACCUGGAUACCACAGUAUUGUGCAGAGGCCCAUGGAUCUUGCCGCCAUAAAAAAGAGCAUUGAGACGGGGUUGAUACGGACCACCGCCGAGUUCCAGAGGGACAUCAUGCUGAUGUUUCAGAAUGCAGUCAUGUACAACAGCCUGGAUCAUGACGUGUACCACAUGGCUCUGGAGAUGCAGCGUGAUGUCCUGGAGCAGAUCCAGCAGUUUCUGGCUACCCAGCUCAUCAUGGAGACAUCAGAGUCUGGUAUCAGCGCCAAGAGCCUGAGGGGCCGUGAGAGCACACGCAGACAGGACUCCACUGACAAGGUGCUUCACUAGAAUUUUGACAAAAGCAGAGAGUACAGAAGAAGAGACAAGGGACACUGUCUCCAUGUCCUCUCCUGCCUUCCUUCUUUCUCUUUUUGAUGGAGGCACCAGAGGGCGCCGUUGUGCCAUAGAAGCUGAUCUGAAGAUGAAGAAAUGAACAUGGAGUAUGAACAUUUUAACCAAGUGUCCCCGAGUUGAAGUGAAAGGUGUGAAACCCACGAAGUGAACCUAAUCUGUCAUUUGCACAGUUUCUCACUCUGCAUAAAAUGCAGCAUAACCUUCAUUUGCACUCUAUGUUACACUGUAAUAUGGAGAAGCUCAUUUCCUCUGAGACAGCCAUACAGAUAUGGAUUAAUAAGUGUAUAAUCCCAGAUUACAGUGGGGCAGGAAGAAUAGGUCAGACCUUUUGUAGAUGUAGCUGCAGAUCACUUAGACUUAACCUGCUCUGAAUUACAUCCGGUUAUGUAAAUGAAAUUAUAAGUUACUUCUGGGCAACAAAUUGGCUGAAAUUAAGCCUUCAUGAGGCCUGGUUGUGCUCAGAUUAGUGUGGUUGAUUUGGAGAAACGUACCAUGUUGGUGUUAAUAUCUAAAAUCAGAGGCCAAAGAAACUGAUGAACCCAGAAGUUGUGAAUAAUCAGGUGGGACACAUCCUAAUUUUUAAACAAAAACCUUUCGGUUGCUGGUAUUAAACCAUUUGUGUUGUUUUUAUUAUCACUAUUGUUGUUAUUAUUUUAAUUUCCUAGUUUUAAAAUGCUGAGACCAUUUUUAAAUAUGGCUUCAUUGUUUGUGAUUAAUUGAUUUUAUCCUGUGGAACAGUACCUACAUGCAUAUUCUGAGUCAUUUUUGGUAUUUUUGAGAAAACGUCACGUUAUUCAACUGUUUUGUGAACUUUGAAAUGUUAAAAAAAAUAAUAAAAACUUCAUAAUGAGCCCUAAAUCAACAUGUUUAGCUUGAAUUUGCACAAAACGUUUUCCACUAUUCUAACACGAUACACACACUGAAACCAUCCUGAUUAAGAGCUAUUAAAUCAAAAACAUUUGUGCAGAGGUUGCAAAUUGUGUUACUCUAUAUGAUGUUUCCACACUCAUCAUGUGUUCAGACUUUGGACAUAAGCAGAAGACUUUUCGGUGAAAAUCUGCAAGUCAGCUAUUAAAAUGAAAACCUACUAAAAUAUCUUGAAAGAGGCUGCUUUAAUUGCUUGGGCAAUUUUCAACAAAGUGAUUACUGCAGUUAAUUGUUUCAUCAAUUUAAGUUUU